UUUUAGAAAUUUUUUCAAACUUUUUAUCAGCUCGGAAAAAAGUAUUUUUCUAGGAAUUUACGAUGCUGCAAAUUUUGUGAUAAAUCAGCGUUUGUCAAUAAUAAAAUCCUAGUAACAAUAAAUUAUCCAUGACGAUUUCGGGGAAUUAAGAUUUGAAAAAAUAGCUCAUAAAAUUUUUUAAACUUGUGAUUUCACAUUCCUCAUUAUUUUGCGACAUUUCUGUCGGCAAUGCCUCUGAAAACAACCUCAUCCUCGAUUAUCGUCAUCGAGCCCGCGGAAGCUCCUGUUCAAAUUUUUCAAAAAUCGAAAAAGAAGAAGAAUUCGAAGAGCAAACGAAUCUGGUGGAAAUACAUUAAAUCUACCGCUCUAUUUGUUCUGGCACUUCUGGUGAUUUUUGCGUUCUUGAUGGGAUCUGUGUUUUUUGUGCUUCACUAGUGUCACAAAACGAUUUACUUUUCUUUUUGGCUUUGGUUUUGUGGCUUCUAGCAUGAUUUUUAAUAAUUUUUCAUUACACUUAUUGAGAUACUGACAAAUUUUUUAAUAUGAAAUUCAUAAUUUUAUCAUGAAUAAAACUGUUAUUAAUGUG
ensembl:lincRNA linc-102 ncRNA